rnacentral:rRNA from 1 species
UUAAGCGACUAAGCGUACACGGUGGAUGCCCUGGCAGUCAGAGGCGAUGAAGGACGUGCUAAUCUGCGAUAAGCGUCGGUAAGGUGAUAUGAACCGUUAUAACCGGCGAUUUCCGAAUGGGGAAACCCAGUGUGAUUCGUCACACUAUCAUUAACUGAAUCCAUAGGUUAAUGAGGCGAACCGGGGGAACUGAAACAUCUAAGUACCCCGAGGAAAAGAAAUCAACCGAGAUUCCCCCAGUAGCGGCGAGCGAACGGGGAGCAGCCCAGAGCCUGAAUCAGUGUGUGUGUUAGUGGAAGCGUCUGGAAAGGCGCGCGAUACAGGGUGACAGCCCCGUACACAAAAAUGCACAUGCUGUGAGCUCGAUGAGUAGGGCGGGACACGUGGUAUCCUGUCUGAAUAUGGGGGGACCAUCCUCCAAGGCUAAAUACUCCUGACUGACCGAUAGUGAACCAGUACCGUGAGGGAAAGGCGAAAAGAACCCCGGCGAGGGGAGUGAAAAAGAACCUGAAAACCGUGUACGUACAAGCAGUGGGAGCACAGAGCAAUCUGUGUGACUGCGUACCUUUUGUAUAAUGGGUCAGCGACUUAUAUUCUGUAGCAAGGUUAACCGAAUAGGGGAGCCGAAGGGAAACCGAGUCUUAACUGGGCGUUAAGUUGCAGGGUAUAGACCCGAAACCCGGUGAUCUAGCCAUGGGCAGGUUGAAGGUUGGGUAACACUAACUGGAGGACCGAACCGACUAAUGUUGAAAAAUUAGCGGAUGACUUGUGGCUGGGGGUGAAAGGCCAAUCAAACCGGGAGAUAGCUGGUUCUCCCCGAAAGCUAUUUAGGUAGCGCCUCGUGAAUUCAUCUCCGGGGGUAGAGCACUGUUUCGGCAAGGGGGUCAUCCCGACUUACCAACCCGAUGCAAACUGCGAAUACCGGAGAAUGUUAUCACGGGAGACACACGGCGGGUGCUAACGUCCGUCGUGAAGAGGGAAACAACCCAGACCGCCAGCUAAGGUCCCAAAGUCAUGGUUAAGUGGGAAACGAUGUGGGAAGGCCCAGACAGCCAGGAUGUUGGCUUAGAAGCAGCCAUCAUUUAAAGAAAGCGUAAUAGCUCACUGGUCGAGUCGGCCUGCGCGGAAGAUGUAACGGGGCUAAACCAUGCACCGAAGCUGCGGCAGCGACGCUGAUGCGUUGUUGGGUAGGGGAGCGUUCUGUAAGCCUGCGAAGGUGUGCUGUGAGGCAUGCUGGAGGUAUCAGAAGUGCGAAUGCUGACAUAAGUAACGAUAAAGCGGGUGAAAAGCCCGCUCGCCGGAAGACCAAGGGUUCCUGUCCAACGUUAAUCGGGGCAGGGUGAGUCGACCCCUAAGGCGAGGCCGAAAGGCGUAGUCGAUGGGAAACAGGUUAAUAUUCCUGUACUUGGUGUUACUGCGAAGGGGGGACGAGAAGGCUAUGUUGGCCGGGCGACGGUUGCCCGGUUUAAGCGUGUAGGCUGGUUUUCCAGGCAAAUCCGGAAAAUCAAGGCUGAGGCGUGAUGACGAGGCACUACGGUGCUGAAGCAACAAAUGCCCUGCUUCCAGGAAAAGCCUCUAAGCAUCAGGUAACAUCAAAUCGUACCCCAAACCGACACAGGUGGUCAGGUAGAGAAUACCAAGGCGCUUGGGAGAACUCGGGUGAAGGAACUAGGCAAAAUGGUGCCGUAACUUCGGGAGAAGGCACGCUGAUAUGUAGGUGAAGUCCCUCGCGGAUGGAGCUGAAAUCAGUCGAAGAUACCAGCUGGCUGCAACUGUUUAUUAAAAACACAGCACUGUGCAAACACGAAAGUGGACGUAUACGGUGUGACGCCUGCCCGGUGCCGGAAGGUUAAUUGAUGGGGUCAGCGCAAGCGAAGCUCUUGAUCGAAGCCCCGGUAAACGGCGGCCGUAACUAUAACGGUCCUAAGGUAGCGAAAUUCCUUGUCGGGUAAGUUCCGACCUGCACGAAUGGCGUAAUGAUGGCCAGGCUGUCUCCACCCGAGACUCAGUGAAAUUGAACUCGCUGUGAAGAUGCAGUGUACCCGCGGCAAGACGGAAAGACCCCGUGAACCUUUACUAUAGCUUGACACUGAACAUUGAGCCUUGAUGUGUAGGAUAGGUGGGAGGCUUUGAAGUGUGGACGCCAGUCUGCAUGGAGCCGGCCUUGAAAUACCACCCUUUAAUGUUUGAUGUUCUAACGUUGACCCGUGAUCCGGGUUGCGGACAGUGUCUGGUGGGUAGUUUGACUGGGGCGGUCUCCUCCUAAAGAGUAACGGAGGAGCACGAAGGUUGGCUAAUCCUGGUCGGACAUCAGGAGGUUAGUGCAAUGGCAUAAGCCAGCUUGACUGCGAGCGUGACGGCGCGAGCAGGUGCGAAAGCAGGUCAUAGUGAUCCGGUGGUUCUGAAUGGAAGGGCCAUCGCUCAACGGAUAAAAGGUACUCCGGGGAUAACAGGCUGAUACCGCCCAAGAGUUCAUAUCGACGGCGGUGUUUGGCACCUCGAUGUCGGCUCAUCACAUCCUGGGGCUGAAGUAGGUCCCAAGGGUAUGGCUGUUCGCCAUUUAAAGUGGUACGCGAGCUGGGUUUAGAACGUCGUGAGACAGUUCGGUCCCUAUCUGCCGUGGGCGCUGGAGAACUGAGGGGGCUGCUCCUAGUACGAGAGGACCGGAGUGGACGCAUCACUGGUGUUCGGGUUGUCAUGCCAAUGGCACUGCCCGGUAGCUAAAUGCGGAAGAGAUAAGUGCUGAAAGCAUCUAAGCACGAAACUUGCCCCGAGAUGAGUUCUCCCUGACUCCUUGAGAGUCCUGAAGGAACGUUGAAGACGACGACGUUGAUAGGCCGGGUGUGUAAGCGCAGCGAUGCGUUGAGCUAACCGGUACUAAUGAACCGUGAGGCUUAACCUU